GAGAAGAGAUAAUUAAUAGGGAGUAUAGUUUAAAGGAAAAACAUAUGUUUUGCGUACAUAAUAUUAUAGGUUCGAAUCCUAUUACUUCCA
rnacentral:tRNA from 1 species